rnacentral:rRNA from 1 species
AUUGAACGCUGGCGGCAGGCCUAACACAUGCAAGUCGAGCGAGCGGCGGACGGGUGAGUAAUGUAUGGGGAUCUGCCCGAUAGAGGGGGAUAACUACUGGAAAGGUGGCUAAUACCGCAUACUAUUGGAGCGGCCGAUAUCGGAUUAGCGAGUUGGUGGGGUAACGGCGCACCGAGGCGACGAUCCGUAGCUGGUGUGAGAGGACGACCAGCCACACUGGGACUGAGACACGGCCCAGACUCCUACGGGAGGCAGCAGUGGGGAAUUUUGGACAAUGGGCGCAACCCUGAUGCAGCCAUCCCGCGUGUACGAAGAUGGCCUUAGGGUUGUAAAGCACUUUUAGCAGGAAAGCGGUACCUGCAGAAUAAGCACCGGCUAACUACGUGCCAGCCGCCGCGGUAAUAC